ensembl:ribozyme RNaseP_nuc Nuclear RNase P
GUGGGCGGAAGCUCAUUGUAGAGGUCACAUGCUGAGUGCUCGUCACUCCACCAAUCACCUCGGGGAAGGUCUGAGACAAGAGCCAAUAGUUACCCUUGCAGGGUAUCACCUGAUUCGGGUGAGCGAGUGAACAGAAAGUAUGGGCCAAAGUGAGCGGUUGUCGCAGGAGAAGCCGGUUGGGGCAGUUUAUCAGCCCCACCGGUGGAUGUGACCCUCACCGGCUUGGAAUCGCUCGCGGCUGGCGGAUGAGUGCGAUGUAUGAGGUGGGGCACAGCUCCAGAACCCAAUUCAGACUACUCUCCCCCCAC